CCUACGGGUGGCAGCAGUGAGGAAUAUUGGUCAAUGGGCGAGAGCCUGAACCAGCCAAGUCGCGUGAGGGAGUACUGCCCUAUGGGUUGUAAACCUCUUUUGUCGGGGAGCAAAAGCCGGACGUGUCCGGCUGUGAGAGUAACCGAAGAAAAAGCAGCGGCUAACUCGGUGCCAGCAGCCGCGGUAAUACGGAGGAUGGGAGCGUUAUCCGGAUUUAUUGGGUUAAAGGGGGGCGCAGGCGGAUUUUUAAGUCAGCGGUAAAAUCGUGGGGCUCAACCCCAUCCAGCCGUUGAAACUGGGGAUCUAGAGUGUGCGAGAGGUAUGCGGAAUGCGUGGUGUAGCGGUGAAAUGCAUAGAUAUCACGCAGAACCCCGAUUGCGAAGGCAGCAUACCGGUGCACAACUGACGCUCAGGCACGAAAGCGUGGGUAUCGAACAGGAUUAGAUACCCUUGUAGUC
rnacentral:rRNA from 1 species